rnacentral:rRNA from 1 species
GGGUUGUGAGGUUAAGCGACUAAGCGUACACGGUGGAUGCCCUGGCAGUCAGAGGCGAUGAAGGACGUGCUAAUCUGCGAUAAGCGCCGGUAAGGUGAUAUGAACCGUUAUAACCGGCGAUUUCCGAAUGGGGAAACCCAGUGUGAUUCGUCACACUAUCAUUAACUGAAUCCAUAGGUUAAUGAGGCGAACCGGGGGAACUGAAACAUCUAAGUACCCCGAGGAAAAGAAAUCAACCGAGAUUCCCCCAGUAGCGGCGAGCGAACGGGGAGGAGCCCAGAGCCUGAAUCAGCAUGUGUGUUAGUGGAAGCGUCUGGAAAGGUGCGCGAUACAGGGUGACAGCCCCGUACACAAAAGCGCAUGUGCUGUGAGCUCGAUGAGUAGGGCGGGACACGUGGUAUCCUGUCUGAAUAUGGGGGGACCAUCCUCCAAGGCUAAAUACUCCUGACUGACCGAUAGUGAACCAGUACCGUGAGGGAAAGGCGAAAAGAACCCCGGCGAGGGGAGUGAAAAAGAACCUGAAACCGUGUACGUACAAGCAGUGGGAGCACAGGUUUACCUGUGUGACUGCGUACCUUUUGUAUAAUGGGUCAGCGACUUAUAUUCUGUAGCAAGGUUAACCGUAUAGGGGAGCCGUAGGGAAACCGAGUCUUAACCGGGCGUUAAGUUGCAGGGUAUAGACCCGAAACCCGGUGAUCUAGCCAUGGGCAGGUUGAAGGUUGGGUAACACUAACUGGAGGACCGAACCGACUAAUGUUGAAAAAUUAGCGGAUGACCUGUGGCUGGGGGUGAAAGGCCAAUCAAACCGGGAGAUAGCUGGUUCUCCCCGAAAGCUAUUUAGGUAGCGCCUCGUGAAUUCAUCUCCGGGGGUAGAGCACUGUUUCGGCUAGGGGGCCAUCCCGGCUUACCAACCCGAUGCAAACUGCGAAUACCGGAGAAUGUUAUCACGGGAGACACACGGCGGGUGCUAACGUCCGUCGUGAAGAGGGAAACAACCCAGACCGCCAGCUAAGGUCCCAAAGUCAUGGUUAAGUGGGAAACGAUGUGGGAAGGCCCAGACAGCCAGGAUGUUGGCUUAGAAGCAGCCAUCAUUUAAAGAAAGCGUAAUAGCUCACUGGUCGAGUCGGCCUGCGCGGAAGAUGUAACGGGGCUAAACCAUGCACCGAAGCUGCGGCAGCGACGCUGAUGCGUUGUUGGGUAGGGGAGCGUUCUGUAAGCCUGCGAAGGUGACCUGUGAGGGUUGCUGGAGGUAUCAGAAGUGCGAAUGCUGACAUAAGUAACGAUAAAGCGGGUGAAAAGCCCGCUCGCCGGAAGACCAAGGGUUCCUGUCCAACGUUAAUCGGGGCAGGGUGAGUCGACCCCUAAGGCGAGGCCGAAAGGCGUAGUCGAUGGGAAACGGGUUAAUAUUCCCGUACUUGGUGUUACUGCGAAGGGGGGACGGAGAAGGCUAUGUUGGCCGGGCGACGGUUGUCCCGGUUUAAGCGUGUAGGUGUGUGUUCCAGGUAAAUCCGGUUCACUUUAACACUGAGGCGUGAUGACGAGGCACUACGGUGCUGAAGCAACAAAUGCCCUGCUUCCAGGAAAAGCCUCUAAGCAUCAGGUAACAUCAAAUCGUACCCCAAACCGACACAGGUGGUCAGGUAGAGAAUACCAAGGCGCUUGAGAGAACUCGGGUGAAGGAACUAGGCAAAAUGGUGCCGUAACUUCGGGAGAAGGCACGCUGACACGUAGGUGAAGUGAUUUACUCACGGAGCUGAAGUCAGUCGAAGAUACCAGCUGGCUGCAACUGUUUAUUAAAAACACAGCACUGUGCAAACACGAAAGUGGACGUAUACGGUGUGACGCCUGCCCGGUGCCGGAAGGUUAAUUGAUGGGGUCAGCGCAAGCGAAGCUCCUGAUCGAAGCCCCGGUAAACGGCGGCCGUAACUAUAACGGUCCUAAGGUAGCGAAAUUCCUUGUCGGGUAAGUUCCGACCUGCACGAAUGGCGUAAUGAUGGCGGGCUGUCUCCACCCGAGACUCAGUGAAAUUGAACUCGCUGUGAAGAUGCAGUGUACCCGCGGCAAGACGGAAAGACCCCGUGAACCUUUACUAUAGCUUGACACUGAACAUUGAGCCUUGAUGUGUAGGAUAGGUGGGAGGCUUUGAAGUGUGGACGCCAGUCUGCAUGGAGCCGACCUUGAAAUACCACCCUUUAAUGUUUGAUGUUCUAACGUGGACCCGUAAUCCGGGUUGCGGACAGUGUCUGGUGGGUAGUUUGACUGGGGCGGUCUCCUCCUAAAGAGUAACGGAGGAGCACGAAGGUUGGCUAAUCCUGGUCGGACAUCAGGAGGUUAGUGCAAUGGCAUAAGCCAGCUUGACUGCGAGCGUGACGGCGCGAGCAGGUGCGAAAGCAGGUCAUAGUGAUCCGGUGGUUCUGAAUGGAAGGGCCAUCGCUCAACGGAUAAAAGGUACUCCGGGGAUAACAGGCUGAUACCGCCCAAGAGUUCAUAUCGACGGCGGUGUUUGGCACCUCGAUGUCGGCUCAUCACAUCCUGGGGCUGAAGUAGGUCCCAAGGGUAUGGCUGUUCGCCAUUUAAAGUGGUACGCGAGCUGGGUUUAGAACGUCGUGAGACAGUUCGGUCCCUAUCUGCCGUGGGCGCUGGAGAACUGAGGGGGGCUGCUCCUAGUACGAGAGGACCGGAGUGGACGCAUCACUGGUGUUCGGGUUGUCAUGCCAAUGGCACUGCCCGGUAGCUAAAUGCGGAAGAGAUAAGUGCUGAAAGCAUCUAAGCACGAAACUUGCCCCGAGAUGAGUUCUCCCUGAGACUUAGAGUCUCCUGAAGGAACGUUGAAGACGACGACGUUGAUAGGCCGGGUGUGUAAGCGCAGCGAUGCGUUGAGCUAACCGGUACUAAUGAACCGUGAGGCUUAACCUUACAACGCCGAAG